rnacentral:rRNA from 1 species
UACGUAGGGUGCGAGCGUUGUCCGGAAUUACUGGGCGUAAAGAGCUCGUAGGUGGUUUGUCGCGUUGUUCGUGAAAACUCACAGCUCAACUGUGGGCGUGCGGGCGAUACGGGCAGGCUGGAGUACUGCAGGGGAGACUGGAAUUCCUGGUGUAGCGGUGGAAUGCGCAGAUAUCAGGAGGAACACCGGUGGCGAAGGCGGGUCUCUGGGCAGUAACUGACGCUGAGGAGCGAAAGCGUGGGGAGCGAACAGG